rnacentral:rRNA from 1 species
UAACGCGUGGAUAAUCUGCCCUUCGAUGGGGGACAACAGCCCGAAAGGGUUGCUAAUACCGCAUACGUCGGCCUGGUCUGCGGACCGGGUCGGGAAAGUCGCCGCAAGGUGGCGUCGAAGGAGGAGUCCGCGUCCCAUCAGCUAGUUGGUAGGGUAACGGCCUACCAAGGCUUAGACGGGUAGCUGGUCUGAGAGGAUGAUCAGCCACACUGGGACUGAGACACGGCCCAG